CCCUAGUGUCUUUGUGUCCCCAAAUGUUUCCGUGUCUCCUAGUGUCUGUGUCCCCAUGUCUCUGUGUCCGUAGUGUCUCCAUGUCUGUGUCCCUAGUGUCUUAGUGUCCCCAAAAGUUUCCAUGUCCCCAUGUCUCUGUGCCCCUAGUGUUUCAGUGUCCACAUUUCUCCCAGUGUCCCCAAAUGUCUCGGUGUCUCCAUGUCUCCCAGUGUCCCCAUGUCUCCCA